rnacentral:antisense_RNA from 1 species
ACUGCAGCUGGGCAGGCACACUCCUCGCAGACCCGGCGCUCUCCAAGGAGAAAAGAAAGUUAGUGGGCUUGGGGUACUAUGGCAGAAAUGGCCAGGGAAGGGUUUAUCUAACCACCAGGAGUACCCAAAGAAGAGAGGUCCAGCCAGCCUGCCUCUCAGAUUGUUAAGAUGCCAGUUGUCUUUUGGCUUAUGGAAACAGCUGUUCUGCCCCCUCCCCAACCCUAGACUCACAGCUACACUCUGUGGGGAAAGCACAAAGGGAAGGCUGCUUCCUGAGGAGAUCUCCAUAUGGAAGAGCUGCAGAUCACAAACAACCCACACAGCCAUUGUAACGCCUGCUUGCCUGGUCACUUGUGUUUUUGAGAAGCCAUAACUCCAAGAAUAGCAAAAGGAAGAAAAUGCUAAAAAGCAGGGGCUGCCUAACAGUUCUGACUUGCAAGGCAAACUCCUGGCAGGCCUGGCCAGCUUCUGCUUGUCCCAGUGCAAUCCCACCCCCAUAGGAUCUGGAAUUUUUCAGUCCCUUUGCUAAGAUUCCUGAAAUAGACUUAAUGAAGAGCCUCAGAAGUGAAAAUUCCUCUUCACACAUUUGCUCAAGAAGAUUGCUUUUCUCCUAACACAGAAAUCAGCUGCCUUGAGGAUGUGCAAGUUUCAUUAGGGAGUCUGCUCUUGCCUAUUUCUCAAACAGUUCAGGCCCUGACAGAAUCAGUGUCACCCCUAAGGUAUUUGCUUCAAAUGCCCCCCAUAUAAUCAAAAGUUAUAAAUGAUAAACCAAAAGUUGAGGUACACUCAUUGCCUUUCAGAAAGAAACCUUCCAAGGGGCCAUGGUCAUAUUGUGACUGGACAAGAACUGUAAUGGAUGAGGCACAUCAUCUUUUGGAACCAUCUAUGGAACAGACGUUAUUAUUCCAUUUUGCAGAAGAGGAAUCUGAGGCUCAGGCCAGACAGAUGCAGCUGACGUUGAGUGGCAUCCUGAUGAUCGCCUUCAUCACAAAAGUCAGGAGUGUUUUGAGGACUGUAGGUGGCUCUUAGGACCCUGACCUCCAUGGCAGCCUUCAAGGAGUGGCAAAGGGGGUCCACAGUAGCAUAUGCAGUGAGAUCCAAGUUUUAGGCAUUCGGAAUGGAGCAAGCCAAGAAUGAGAACAGGUUCUGAAAGUGACAG